GUCAGCAUGGUGUAGUGGCUUGAGCACUGGACUAUGACUCUGCAGACCAGGUUUCAAAUCCCUGCUCAGCCA